rnacentral:lncRNA from 1 species
ACGGCCGUGGAUAAUUGAAAGUUUUCACAUUUUUUUCAAAAUUGGUGAAAACAAAAUUCUUAAAAACGCUGAAAUUGUGUUGGUCUAAUAUUUACUGGCACCAAUAUUACCAAACAAAAAUUUAAUUACCUCACAUAAUUUCUGUAGACAAUUGAGUAGAGCCAACUGCACACUAGGCCCAUUUCUUUUGAUGUUGUCAUAAAAAGGUUUAAGCAGCAACAUAGAUACAUUUUUGAAUUCCAUAUUUCCGCAUUCAGCUAUAUGGGGAAACAUACCUUUAA